rnacentral:rRNA from 1 species
AUUGAACGCUGGCGGCAGGCCUAACACAUGCAAGUCGAGCGGCAGCGGGAAAGUAGCUUGCUACUUUUGCCGGCGAGCGGCGGACGGGUGAGUAAUGCCUGGGAAAUUGCCCAGUCGAGGGGGAUAACAGUUGGAAACGACUGCUAAUACCGCAUACGCCCUACGGGGGAAAGCAGGGGACCUUCGGGCCUUGCGCGAUUGGAUAUGCCCAGGUGGGAUUAGCUAGUUGGUGAGGUAAUGGCUCACCAAGGCGACGAUCCCUAGCUGGUCUGAGAGGAUGAUCAGCCACACUGGAACUGAGACACGGUCCAGACUCCUACGGGAGGCAGCAGUGGGGAAUAUUGCACAAUGGGGGAAACCCUGAUGCAGCCAUGCCGCGUGUGUGAAGAAGGCCUUCGGGUUGUAAAGCACUUUUAGCGAGGAGGAAAGGUUGAUGCCUAAUACGUAUCAACUGUGACGUUACUCGCAGAAGAAGCACCGGCUAACUACGUGCCAGCAGCCGCCGUAACAC